rnacentral:rRNA from 1 species
UACGCAGGGGGCGAGCGUUGUUCGGAUUUACUGGGCGUAAAGGGCGCGUAGGCGGCCCUCUUUGUCGCGUGUGAAAGCCCCGGGCUCAACCUGGGAAUUGCGCGCGAAACGGGGGGGCUUGAGUUCGGGAGAGGAGCGUGGAAUUCCCAGUGUAGAGGUGAAAUUCGUAGAUAUUGGGAAGAACACCGGUGGCGAAGGCGGCGCUCUGGACCGAGACUGACGCUGAGGCGCGAAAGCGUGGGGAGCAAACAGG